AUGGUGAAUUUUCUUCUGUUCGUGUCACUUUUUUCGUUGGUAUCUGGUAAUAAUAGCCUUCUUGUCAAACUUUGUGCAACAGAGUCACUCAAUCAAAUGGCUGACGGUGAGGACAUCCAGCCCCUUGUCUGCGACAAUGGAACUGGCAUGGUCAAGGCUGGUUUUGCAGGGGAUGAUGCACCCAGGGCCGUCUUCCCAAGUAUCGUUGGGCGCCCCCGCCACACUGGUGUGAUGGUGGGGAUGGGGCAGAAAGAUGCAUAUGUUGGUGACGAGGCCCAAUCCAAAAGGGGUAUCCUCACCUUGAAGUACCCGAUCGAGCAUGGCAUCGUCAGCAACUGGGACGACAUGGAGAAGAUCUGGCAUCACACUUUCUACAAUGAGCUCCGUGUUGCACCUGAGGAGCACCCAGUACUGCUGACUGAGGCGCCCCUGAACCCCAAGGCUAACAGGGAGAAGAUGACACAAAUCAUGUUUGAGACCUUCAAUGUUCCAGCCAUGUAUGUGGCCAUCCAGGCUGUGCUUUCCCUAUAUGCUAGUGGACGCACAACAGGUAUCGUGUUGGAUUCUGGUGAUGGUGUCAGCCAUACUGUGCCAAUCUAUGAAGGAUAUGCCCUUCCACAUGCCAUCCUUCGUCUUGACCUUGCUGGGCGCGACCUAACUGACUGUUUGAUGAAGAUUCUUACGGAGAGAGGUUACUCCUUCACCACCACUGCCGAACGGGAAAUUGUAAGGGACAUCAAGGAGAAGCUCGCAUAUGUGGCUCUUGACUAUGAACAAGAGCUGGAAAAUGCCAAGAGCAGCUCCUCUGUGGAGAAGAGCUAUGAGCUGCCUGAUGGGCAGGUGAUCACCAUUGGGGCAGAGAGGUUCCGUUGCCCUGAGGUCCUUUUCCAGCCAUCUUUCAUUGGUAUGGAAGCUGCUGGAAUCCAUGAGACCACCUACAACUCUAUCAUGAAGUGUGAUGUGGAUAUCAGGAAGGAUCUGUAUGGUAACAUCGUGCUCAGUGGUGGCUCAACUAUGUUCCCGGGUAUUGCUGACCGUAUGAGCAAGGAGAUCACUGCCCUUGCACCAAGCAGCAUGAAGAUCAAGGUGGUGGCACCGCCUGAGAGGAAGUACAGUGUCUGGAUUGGAGGGUCGAUUCUUGCCUCCCUUAGUACCUUCCAACAGAUGUGGAUCUCGAAGGGCGAGUAUGACGAGUCAGGUCCAGCGAUUGUCCACCGGAAGUGCUUCUAA
rnacentral:rRNA from 1 species